UUUGCACACUCUUAAAUAACAUUUCCACUAAAUAUUAUAUUUUUAUUAAUUUCCUUGAACUUGUUAGUUAUUCCAAGGACACUUCCGGUUAAGAAAGCAUCUGCUGCACCCUGUAGGUAAGCCCGCUCCAUCCGCUUGGCACCGUCUGUGAGCCUAAUGUGCCACUUAAGACGCAUUUAUUGUCUUUCGUUGUUGCUGUUGUUGCCGUUCUUGCAGCACGGCGGCUGUUGGUGGUGCCGCAUUUUCCAUUUAAUUGACGCCAUUGUUGACAAAAUGGCGGUCGCUUUCGCUGCACCCAAGUUGCACCAGCCACAAGCCAUUAAUGUUAACGCAUUUUUCGCUGAGAUUCUGCUGGAUGUUGGCUUGGAUGCACUCAUGUUUCUGGUUUACCAGAGGCGACAUCCUUCAGUCGGCGGAGUUCGAGGGGGCGUGGCGACGACAGGGGCGCAAAUCACUUGCAAUUAGUGUUAAAAAUGCAUCGGAGUACCUAGAUUGUUCAUUAUAUGCAUCCAACACACUUUCACCUCUUGGACAAUCCGAAUAGUGAGCUAUGCAAUCAAUCCCAGCCUUGCCAGCUGCCAAAGCUUCUGUGUAAGCCACAUCCAAACGCGUCUUACCAGGUCUAUAAAGUUUAUAUAUGUACAUUCAUGAAAAUUCCAUUUAAGUAAUAGUAAUCACAACUCACAUCCCCCGCAGCAAACAGUGUCGACCUCGGCCCGCCGAUCCACUCACUUGGUCCAUGUAGUUCUCCAAGAUGGCAUACACGAAUAUGCGUGUGUCGUCCUCGUGCGACUCAUCCAAGCUCCUGAUCUUCUCCUGCAACGAA